UAAUAAGCGGAGGAAAAGAAACUAACAAGGAUUCCCUUAGUAGCUGCGAGCGAACAGGGAGGAGCUCAGCAUAAAAUCUUGUAACUUGACAGUUAUCAAGAGAUGUUAUGUUUAGGGAGUUUCGUUUAUCCUAGAAUGUACACUUAGUCCAAGUCCACCUUGAAUGGGGCAUUACCCAUAGAGGGUGCCAGUCCCGUAGUGACAAGUGUAUAAAAAUCAUUCUAGGUGAAACUUUCCUUAGAGUCGGGUUGCUUGUAAAUGCAGCUCUAAGUGGGUGGUAAACUCCAUCUAAAGCUAAAUAUGACCACGAGACCGAUAGCGAACAAGUACCAUGAGGGAAAGUUGAAAAGAACUUUGAAGAGAGAGUUCAAGAGUACGUGAAACCGUUUAGGGGUAAACGGGAGAAAUCCGAAAAUCUGAAGGAAGUGAUUCACAUAAAUUCUACAUUAUAGUGCACACGGUGAUUGAUGAUCAUUUAAGCUCCUUGCAUGCAAUUUAUUGUAUGUUUCAAGGGUUCCGUUUAAUGUCACAAUUCUCGUGUUGUAUAUUAAAUAUAAUGUGGUUUAUCGCAUUUCAACCUUCCUUAUUAAGAGAAACGUCGCGACCCAUUGGAUUCGAGUUGAAGAUCUUAUAGGGAGUCUCAUAGAAGCUUGGUCACUCCUCUCAAGGGGGUGUCUUUGUCUUUUUCUAUGUAGACCUAUAAAAUAUGAUCUGACUGAUUAUCCGAUGGUAUCAAAAAUUGAAGAUUCACCCGCGUUUUAUGCGCGUUUGAAUAUUUUUGUUAAUUUAUUUUUAUAUCCAAUAAUUAUAAUUUCUUCUAGUUUAUCGGACCUAAUGGCCCGUCUAGGGGUAAUUAUUGGUAACGGAAAUAUUCUCAAACAGUGGUGUAUAUCUUUGUCUGCGGCGAAUAUGUUUCGGAAUUUCGCCCGACCCGUCUUGAAACACGGACCAAGGAGUCUAACAUGUGCGCAAGUCAUUGGGUAUUUUAUAAAACCUAAAGGCAUAAUGAAAGUAAAGAAUUAUUUUUUUUUUUCAAUUUAAAUAAUUUGUGGGAUGAUAGAUGAUAUCCAUUCUCAUCUCCCUGUGUCUGGUGUCUGUUUCUUUUUUCUUACUUGUAAGUUGGGGAAGCAGUAGCAGCAGCACAGUAAGAGUAUGUUGAUGUGUAAAUCUCGCAAUCCCAGGGCGUCUCAUUCUCAUUAUGAGAAGAGGCGCACCUUGAGCGUACACGUUGGGACCCGAAAGAUGGUGAACUAUGCCUGGCGAGGACAAAGUCAGGGGAAACCCUGAUGGAGGUCCGUAGCGAUUCUGACGUGCAAAUCGAUCGUCGGAGCUGGGUAUAGGGGCRAAAGACUAAUCGAACCAUCUAGUASCUGGUUCCCUCCRAAKUUUCCCUCAGGAUAGCUGGCAUUCGUACAAUUGAAAAAUUGAACGAGUCUCAUGCGGUAAAGCGAAUGAUUAGAGGCCUUGGGGCCGAAACGACCUCAACCUAUUCUCAAACUUUAAAUGGGUGAGAACUCUGGCUUGCUUAAAUGAAGCCGUGAGAAUUUUUUUAUUUUUAUUCUAUUUGAUUAUUCUUCUCUUCUUCUUCUUCUUUUACUAUAUAUCACAAAAAAGAUUUUUCUAAACUAUACAUGCAUGCAUGCAUACAUACAUAUAUGUAUGUAUGUAUGUAUGUAUUUUUUUUUAGUAAAACGUGAUUAUAGAAAAAAAAAAAAAAAAAAGAAGUAGUAGUAAAAAAUAAGAAGAAUAAUUCAAAAAUGAAAGAGAGAAAAAAAAAAWAWRAWMARACCCCCAUCCGGGCGAAAGGGAAUCCGGUUCCAAUUCCGGAACCUGGCUCGGAACCGUUUCAUUGUCGUGCCCACUCUUUUAAUACAAGAGUAAGCUCGUCGGGGUAACCCAAAAAGACCCGGAGACGCCGUCGGGAGAUGCGGGCAGAGUUUUCUGUUCUGUAUGAGCGUUCGAGUUCCCUGGAAUCCUCUAGCAGUGAGAUAGGGUUUGGAACGCGUAGAGCACCGCAUUUGCUGCGGUGUCCGCAUCGUCCCCUCGGCCCUUGAAAAUCCGGGAGAGGGCCACGUGGAUGUCUCGAGCCAGAUCGUACCGAUAACCGCAGCUGGUCUCCAAGGUGUGAAGCCUCUUGUCGAUAGAAUA
rnacentral:rRNA from 1 species